rnacentral:lncRNA from 1 species
GAACCAGAACAUACAUGAUUAGUAAUUGCAUAAUGAAUUAGAAGUAGAUUACCAGAGUCAUCCCAUGAGCAAGCUUGAUUAGAGCUUGAUCAUGGCGAAGUACAACCGGAGGAAGAACCGACAGGCCGGCCUCUCCUCUAAUCCUCCUUCGCUCUCCAUCUCGCUACUAUCUAGAUCUACUCUAGUUUAGAGAAGAGAGGAGAGCUCUCAUCUCUAAACCCUAGCUUUUGCUCUGUCUAUGAAUAAUGAAUAAUGAUCAAGGGGUGCCUCCUCCAGGGGCCAGGGGGUCUGGUUUUAUAGUCCCCUCAAGUGAACCUGGGCCGUCGGAUCAAACUGACAUUGAUUGAAUGGUUAUUCUUGAUCGUUUAGGUCGGUGGAGCAUAAUCUACGAGAUUGAGCGUGAUUGGCCGAAAUAGGUGGGCGGGCGCCCUAAGGACUUGGGCGGGCGCCCUGUCCCUGACUCCGUUCGGUCUCCGCUUCCUUCCUGUGGCUUCUGGAGUCUUCUAGAUGUAAGAUAAUUGCGCGGCACGUUGAUAUCUCUAUGUAAUCCCGACGUGUGGGUCUUUCUUCCUUAUUUCCUGAUAACCCCCUGCAGAAAUAGACAAACACCAAAACUCGUGGAAUUCUGUCAAAUAAAACCCAAAGUCUCGAUGUUGAUUUCAUUUGGAUCCUUUUCUUUGUUUAUUUGAUAGUUAAAUUUGAUACUUAAGUACUGUCAACAAACUCCCCCAAGCUUACCUCUUGCUCAUCCCUGAGCAAGGAUAGACUCAGCUAUGGAUCAUAAGUUGUUGCAAUAUCUUUAAAAAUUGACGGUACACAUGCUUUUAAAUGAGGUCUCAUCUCUGAGUUAGAGUAAACUGUCAAGACUUAAAACUUACUUACUUUACCUUUCACCAUGGGACUUGUAACCGUCACUUCUGUCUUGAGUGGUUAAAAGAUAGAACAGUCUAGUCAAGUGCCAUGUCACUUAUUCUUGAUCAGCUAUAGCUCUGGAGUUUUUGCAGAUUUUCAAAUAAAACUCAGAGAUUCCUUUAUAUGACUCUCUCAUAUCUCUCUUUUGUGGUAUUUCUGGAUCCUUACCAAGACAGUGAUGGUAUAUGCCUUCUCUCAAAAUAUGUGGUAUUUGUGGUAUAAGGGAUAGUGACAUUGUCUUCUCUCUCACCCUACUCUAAUAAGGCUUAAAUAUCUGGAGCUCAUAGGUGGCAGAUAAAAUAUACAUACUUACAAUACAUUUAUUGUAUAGUCAAACCAUGGAUCCAAAGAAACAAAUCAAUAAGCCAAAUCAAGAUGUGCAUGUGUGGUGAAUGAAUAGUGUAUGGUGAUGAUGGUGAUAACAAUGGUGAAAGUCUAAUUCUACUUUUGCUCUUUUGAGGGGAUACAUACCUUCCUUGCUUUUUGAAACUUUAUGAGGAGAAUGAGAUGCUCUUCUUUUUCUUUUCUCUCAGAUGGGUAUCCUGUACCCCUAAUUCUACUGUCGGACACUUGUCCAUUUUUACCUCUCGUCUCACUCUUUUUAUUUUCUUUCGAGGUUCCGGACACUUGCCCCUUUUUAUUUCCUCGUUUAUUUUUUUUUUUCUUUUUUCUUCUUCUUUUUUUUGAGAGCACUCAUCUCUUGAGAUAAUAUAGCAAGUGGUAGUAGCAAGAUAACUUGAGCAUUUAUUUCACAAGGGAAAAACACAGAUAUUUUUGGCUAUUCUCUCCCGAAUUAGGAGUAGAAUAUUUUUAGGUGAUUCUGAAGAAAUGGAUGGAUAUAUGUGGAUGGUUCUUCCGGAGUAGAAGUAGCAUAUAUAUGAGUGAACGUGCAAGUGAAUCUUGAUUUAACCACAUGACAAGCUCCUAAGGGUCUACACAGCUUGACCACACUCAAUGCUCAUAAGCAGUAAAUAAUAAAUGUGUGGCUCAAAGUCUAUCAAGCAUGUAUAUAUGGCUGUGGUAGGAAUUUAAACUUUCAUCAAACAGGAACUCAUCAUGCAACAUUUUAAAGAUUUUUCAAAGAUAAAAUUCUCCAGAAUUCUAGCAUCUCUAGGAAUAGAUAAACAGCAGCUCAACCUUCCCAUAUCAUAUCCGUUAACAACUUAGAUUUCAGAUCAAGUUUUCAUCCCACAAGUUUAGAUCUAGAGCAAGCUUUAAAUUAUAACAGUUAUGUCUAAACUUGAGAGAGAACUUCAAAUUUGCAAAUUAGGCAGAGCAACUAUUCAUCAUAUCCAUGCUAGAGUUUUAUUAUUAAGAUUCAGAUUAGCAUAGCCACUUUAUUUAUUUAUUAAACACACUAAACAAAAGAUAUAUAUAUAAGCACAAAAUCUUUAUUUGGUUUUUCAUAGUUUAUGUAUUUUAAUAUUCUAUUAUAAUAUAAGUAUAAAGAUAGGUAGAAAUACUUAGCGAGAUAAAUGGGGGUGCUCUCCCCCAAGCUGAAUUUUGACGUAAUUUCUCUUGAUGUAGCUAGCAGGUGGCAGAGGUGUAUUUGAAAGUCAGCAGCAUUCUGACAGUGAUUAGAAUGUCCUCCAUCUGCUAGUCUUCUUGAUUCUUAAAUUCUGUGGAGCUCAAAUAGACAACAAAGCUUGUGGAACUAAUUAAGUGUUAGCAUAAAUAUCUAGCCUUCAUCACGUUGAGCUUCCUCAAUAAAUAUUACUCCCUGUUUUUAUAUUUUUAUUUUAUAAAGUAAAAAAGAAAUAUUUAUUUUAUUUUUAUGCCAUCACAGUGAAGGUACUUAUGGGUUUUAUGCCACUCGUAUACUCACAUGGGGCUUAGUAUUUUUUUAACAUUUUUAUUUUCUUUUCAAGAUAGCAUGAUUAACUAAUAAUCUAUUUAAGGCAAGUAAAUAAUUAAAUGGAAAAGGGAAUGCAGAAAGGAUAAAUAUGGAUAACUACCAAUCUUACCUUUCGGCGAGGGUUCAAUGUUUUAAGUCUUCUUGUCAAGACUUCUCAUCGUGUUCAUUCUUCAGGUGCGUCAUUUGAUUCAGGUGCGGACCUUGACGUCUGCACCUUUUAAUACGGUGUCACCCAUGUUCUUCGUUUGCCCAGCAGUUCGAAGUGCGGUGUUAGCAGUAUCUUGCUCAGUGUGUUUGUGCUCGUAGAGUACCUGCUCAUAGAGACAAGGCAGAGAUCAAGUGCAUGGGCCCUGUUGGUGGAAAACACCAACAGAACCAAAAGUGUAUUUGUUCUUCUCUAACCUUAAGCAUAGUGAGCAAGACAAGUUGAUGGAUGAUAAGUUCAUGAAUGUAGCACUUAUAACAUUUGUCAGAUCAGAUCGCUCAACCUUAUGGAAAGAUAAUCUAUCUAUGUAUAUGUAUUUUUCUUUAUAUCUCUUAAUGAUCGAAUGUGUAACAUUUUAGCUCAUAUGAUUAGGAGUGUGGGAUCAUGGAGGUAGUACUAAGAACAAGGAUUAAAGGACUAAACAUGUUGAAUCAGUUGGGUUGGUUAAUCUAGAGUUGUAAAUCAUACACAUUUGUCUCUUUUAUUUAUAUGAACGCCAGAACCAAGGAGAAGCUUAUAAAAGUGAUAGUCAAGUACCUUAAGAUGUUACCUUGCUCGAAGAGUGGUGGUACAGUAUCAUCUUGUGGAAGCUUUCCUUUCUUAGCGGUUGUGCGUCGUGUUUGUGGCACCCUCCAUGGAUCAUCUCUCUAUGAUGAAUGAGCUAUGUCCUUCUUGUGCAAAUUGUUAAACUUCAUGUGUCACUCUCUUCGUCUCUGAUGUGAGUUUAUCUCAGGACUUCCCAAAUCGAUAUUGAAAGUUUUUCUGCAGGGGUUAGUCCGACAAAAUAUACCAAUAUCUACUCAAGCAGUUUUUUUUAGUUCAAUAACCAAACUAGACUCCAUGUCUAAUCAGAUU